GACGAACGCUGGCGGCGUGCUUAACACAUGCAAGUCGAACGGAAAGGCCCUGCUUUUGCGGCGCGCUCGUGUGGCGCACGGGUGUGUAACACGUGUGUAAACCGCCCCUGUCUUUGGGAUAACUUUAGGAAAAUGGGGAUAAUAUCGGAUAGGAGCUCUUGAUGCAUGGUGGGGGUUGGUAAGUUUCGGCGGUUCGGGAUGGUCUCGCGGGUUAUCCGCUUGUUGGUGGGGUUGUGGCUUACCAAGGCUUUGACGGCUAGCCGGCCUGAGAGGGUGACCGGCCACAUGGGGACUGAGAUACGGCCCAGACGCCUACGGGAGGCAGCGGUGGAAAAUAUUACACAGUGGGCGGGAGCGAGAUACAGCAGCGCCGCGUGCGGGAUGACGGCCUUCGAGUUAUAAACCGCUGUCGCCUGUAACAAGGCGUGAGUGACGGUAAUGAGUAAAGAAGCACCGGCUAACUACGUG
rnacentral:rRNA from 1 species